rnacentral:lncRNA from 1 species
GAGAAGGAAGCGGGCGUGUGACGUCAUGGUCACUGGUACUCAGGCACUUCACAGUUUACUUGAAAGAGGCUUUGGAAAAAUAGAUAAAGUGAAAGAUUAAAUACAUAUUUUUAAUAAGGUAAUUUUAAAAAAUCCUUUAUAAUCAGGAGUGAGUCUUGGCUUGUUAAAAGCUGUCAUUUAUCUUGAAACACAGUAUCGAAAGAGAAAUUUACGAUUGACUUUGUUUCUUUUUUUCUUUGAAGCUCUCCUCUGAACCCAUGUUUUAGGAUAGGAUUCUUUCGUUUCCCUCCAUGGCAACGCAAUGCUGUGUCAAGGGAGCCAUGGCUGUGAGUGAGCACGGAGUUGGUCACAAUAUGAGCCCAUCCCUAUUGUCCUUGAUACUCUUAGGAGUAUAUUUAAGAACCAUAGGCAGAAAUCAUGGCUUCCUGCUUGAAACCUGAUCCUUAGAAGAUUGUUUUGAAAGCUGAAGUCUAGCGGCCCCAUGCUCUUUCUUGUGUGUUUGGUAGCCCUCCAACUGACUGGUCUUUUUGUACACAGAGCUAAGCAGUGGUUAGCAGCCUGCAGGAUCUGUUUACACAGCAACUGUGGAUUAUUGGCAUCUCCGUGGGCUGGUCCCAUGGGCUGAAGAUUCUGUAUAGAAUUAUUAAAAAAAAAAUUCCACCUUCUUUUUAUUUUCUUCAUAGUUUCUUAAGCACUUUGACAUUUUGGUAGUUCCACGAUAUGGAGAGAAUAAUAUAUUUAUUUUGUGACAUUGCAUAUGCCAAAUACUGUAGCUUUCCUGUGCUCACGAUACCUGCGUUCCAGGUCAGUGUUUCGAUCCUGGCCUGCCGGAACAAUGGCUCGGGAUGGUUUUGUGAUGUUUUUUCCCCCCUCAGCCACCAUUAUCAAUAUUUAAAGGUGCAGUUGACUGUUAGUAGUUGUGUGGUAAAGUCAAGCCCUGUGGUGUAUCAGCAAAUAGUUAAGAGUCUCAGUUGAUUUCUGUAAUGUUUGACCUAAUAAAUGCCCAUUUCAUCUGUGACAAGACAUAGCCCAGUGAACGUCACUGUGGUGGUGCCAUGGGGGAGUUCCCAUCACAUGCCAGCCAGACCUAGUGACACUUCUGCCCUUUGGGUUCCCAUAGAGGAAUUUGGCCUCCCCAAGUGAGGUUUGGAAUGGUUUCUGACAGACACACGGGGAGGCCAGUGUGGAUUGAGAGCUGUUCUCCUCACACAUUCUGUGAAAGUGUUGGAACCCCUGGCUUCCGGUUUUGGUUUUCCUGUAAUUCUGUCUUCACAUCAGACACUUUUCUCUGUUUCCAUUCCCUCCCCCCUUUUAUAAUGCAUAUCUGAUGCUGUGAACAGAAAUAAACUAUUUAUACAAUCAAACA